rnacentral:rRNA from 1 species
ACCAGUGGCAAUAGCACGUUGAAUUCACCAGUUCCCAAAGGAUCAUUGAAGUUAAGCAACGUUGUGUGUGGUUAAUAUACGGACCGGAUGGGUUAUCACCUCGGCACUCGCGUCCUGCUGGCU